GUUGCCCUUGUGAAGGGGGAAGGUGAUGGUGUUCGCAUUCUUAGAAGGAUGAGAUCAAAUGAGCCAAAAGACCUUUUUCUUCUGAACUUAUCUUGUGAUCUCUCCGUCUUCCAUGAUCUAAGCCUUUUACACUGUCACUUUACAGCUGCA